CUCCUGGAAACGGGUGGUAAUGCCGGAUGUUCCAGUUGAUCGCAUGGUCUUCUGGGAAAGCUUUCGCGGUAUGGGAUGGGGUCGCGUCCUAUCAGCUUGACGGCGGGGUAACGGCCCACCGUGGCUUCGACGGGUAGCCGGCCUGAGAGGGCGACCGGCCACAUUGGGACUGAGAUACGGCCCAGACUCCUACGGGAGGCAGCAGUGGGGAAUAUUGCACAAUGGGCGCAAGCCUGAUGCAGCGACGCCGCGUGAGGGAUGGAGGCCUUCGGGUUGUAAACCUCUUUUAUCGGGGAGCAAGCGUGAGUGAGUUUACCCGUUGAAUAAGCACCGGCUAACUACGUGCCAGCAGCCGCGGUAAUACGUAGGGUGCAAGCGUUAUCCGGAAUUAUUGGGCGUAAAGGGCUCGUAGGCGGUUCGUCGCGUCCGGUGUGAAAGUCCAUCGCUUAACGGUGGAUCCGCGCCGGGUACGGGCGGGCUUGAGCGCGGUAGGGGAGACUGGAAUUCCCGGUGUAACGGUGGAAUGUGUAGAUAUCGGGAAGAACACC
rnacentral:rRNA from 1 species